rnacentral:rRNA from 1 species
GGUUAAGUGACUAAGCGUGCACGGUGGAUGCCUUGGCAA